UACGGGGGGAGCAAGCGUUGUUCGGAUUUACUGGGCGUAAAGGGCGCGUAGGCGGUCAGCACAAGUCAAUUGUGAAAUCUCCGAGCUUAACUCGGAAAGGUCAACUGAAACUGUGCGACUAGAGUGCGGAAGGGGCAACUGGAAUUCUUGGUGUAGCGGUGAAAUGCGUAGAUAUCAAGAGGAACACCUGAGGUGAAGACGGGUUGCUGGGCCGACACUGACGCUGAGUGCGCGAAAGCCAGGGGAGCAAACGGG
rnacentral:rRNA from 1 species